AUGGUUGUUGUAAGAAAAGAUACACAGGCACACAUGCAUAUAGAAAUGAUAUUCUUGUCCCCAUCGUCUGUUCGCCAUUUGAGCUGCACCUCUCCUGCGCUGCAAUGCGUCUCAGUCAUGGCCUCGUGCAUUUCCCGCCGACGAGCUUCAGGUAGCUUCUUAUGGCGAGCGACUGCGCCCGCGGGUGCCGCGCCAAUGGUGACGGCGGCGGCGAUGGCGACGGCGGCGUGUUCUUCCUUCUUGACGUCGCCGCCGACGAGCCCUUCACCAUCACGGCUCGCCUCGACGUGUGCGCGCGCUGCAGGCCGUCGCGUGUCCUCCGCUGCUCCCCCGCGCUCUCGUCGUCCACGGCCUGUAAUUCUAGCCCGAGCUCCCUCUCGAUCGCCUCGGCCCGCAUGA
rnacentral:rRNA from 1 species